CGUUACUUUCAGUCGUAUUAUUCUACUAAUGGUAUUAUUACACUAUUUAAAACUCAAAUAAUUAGAAAAUGUCUAGUGAAAAGUUAGUUUGUGUUAUUUGUAAAAAAAAUGAUGCUAAAGUGAUUGCUUUUGUGGAGAAAACUCUAAAAAAAAGUCAGGAGGUGUUAAAUAUCCGUAAACAUCAUAGGUUAAAAUAUAAUCAUAUUGUUUUGCCAGUGAUUCCUAACCUUUCAGAUGGUUAUCACACAAGUUGUUAUAAGAAUUUUAUAGCUUUGAUGAAAAAAUAUAGUGAAAAUACUGUGAUUGAAUCCAAUAUUUAUACUCUUACAAAAGUUCUUUGACACCUAAUAGAAACGGAUGGACACUUAAUGAGGAUACGCUAGAUUUUCACUGGUUUGACGGAGAGUGUAUGCCGCAAUUAGUAUUCGACGCUGUUGUUCACGAGGAAAAUAAAAAUAACGAUGAUGAAAAUCAUACUACAGAUGAUGAAGAGGUUGCCGAAUCUGAUACAGAUGAAUCCGAAGAUUCAAGUAGUUCCGAUGAAGAUUCUGAUCCACAGACGAAAAAUGAUAAUUUAUCUGACGUGAAACGAAUUUAAUUUAUUUCAAAUUUUUUUAUACUUAAAUAAUUGAAACACUGAAGAAAUAUUAUAUUUUUAUAAAU